rnacentral:rRNA from 1 species
UACGGAGGGUGCGAGCGUUGUCCGGAAUCACUGGGCGUAAAGGGCGCGUAGGCGGCGCGGGCAGUCAACGGUGAAAGCUCGGGGCUCAACCCCGAGUCGGCCGUCGAUACUCCCGUGCUCGAGCACUGUAGAGGCAGGUGGAAUUCCGGGUGUAGCGGUGGAAUGCGUAGAGAUCCGGAAGAACACCGGUGGCGAAGGCGGGUCUCUGGGCAACAACUGACGCUGAGGAGCGAAAGCGUGGGGAGCGAACAGG